AAGGAUCAUUACACGAUCUCCGCCUGGCCGUCCCCGCAAGGGGUCGCCUGACGGUAUCAAAACACCCCCUGCGUACCUCUCCAUGUUGCUUCCCCGGGUCAGCAGCCAUUUGCCUGCCCGGCACGCCCGUCACUUUUUUUGACCCGCUGCCGGAGGAGCCCGGGGGAGGACCCAACCCAACCCUAGUUUUAUCCAGCGGAGUAGAAGUCUGACUUGGCCCCGGGCCAUCAGUAUUAACAAUACUUAAAACUUUCAACAACGGAUCUCUUGGUUCUC
rnacentral:misc_RNA from 1 species